GUGGGAAGCGAUUUUUCUUUGAAAGGUCGCUAGAGAACUAAUAUCUUUAAGUUCAUUUGGCAAUGAGUUCUAGUCUUGAUCUGUUCCAAUCCAAGGAAACAGCAAAACGUUUUCGUUAUUUUAUGAAAUUCUUGUGAAACUGAAACACUUUUUUCAUAAUUGAAUCGAUAUAAGCGGUUUUACGUCCCGGAGUCUUUAAAAAUCGGCGAUUAAAACUUGUCGAUUUUAAUUGUUUUACUCGAGGUAUGCAGCUACAAAAUCUACCCAGGUCAUGGAAAAAGAUAUAUACGUCUAGAUGGAAAGUCUUUCAAUUUCCUGGACAAAAAAUGUGAGAGAUCCUUCUUGAUGAGAAGAAAUCCACGAAAGAUUUCAUGGACUGUCCUUUACUGUAGAAAACACAAAAAGGGCUCAGUUGAAGAGGUCUCCAAAAAGAGAAUGAGACGAAAUGUUAAAUUCCAAUGAGCCAUCCAGGGUGCAACUCUUGAAACUAUUUUGGCCAAACGCAAUCAGAAACCUGACGUAAGAAAAGCACAAAGAGAGUAGGCAAUAAGGUAUCAAACACAACUGUCUGGCGUCUUUAAUAUCUAAAAAAUUUCAUCUUUUAUGCUUGACUAGAAGAUAUUUGAUUUUGUUUCUCAGUGAAGAUUCUUUUUUACCUACAUUGUAUGAGUAACAACUGUGAGAAUAUGAAUUAUAAUCAGAGAGAAACAUUGAAAA